rnacentral:misc_RNA from 1 species
AAGUCGUAACAAGGUUUCCGUAGGUGAACCUGCGGAAGGAUCAUUAACACGAACUCUUUAUUAUCCAAUAACCAAACCAAACGUGAACUUAUAAAAUUCUCCCUAUAUUUUACUAUAGAGAUAUAGUUUAAUCUAGGCUAACCUUUUUUACUAUUAUUAUUUUAUAAUAGUAGUAAAAAAUUCUUAUUUUUCACCCCUAUUCAACUUAACUUACAAAGUUUGCGGCCUAACAGCGGAACUUUUUACUAACACUAAGUAUUAAAUAAUUGGCGACAUUGUUAAUUAUUUUUACUUUGAUUCUUAUGAAAUUAUAAGAACAACUCUUAACAAUGGAUAUCUUGGUUCUC